rnacentral:rRNA from 1 species
UACGUAGGGGGCGAGCGUUGUCCGGAUUUAUUGGGCGUAAAGAGCUCGUAGGCGGUUCGUACAGUCAGACGUGAAAUUCCUGGGCUCAACCUGGGGGCUGCGUUUGAUACGUGCGGACUUGAGUGCGGAAGAGGGUCGUGAAUUCCCGAGUGUAGAGGUGAAAUUCGUAGAUAUUGGGAAGAACACCGGUGGCGAAGGCGGCGACCUGGUCCGAUACUGACGCUGAGGCGCGAAAGCGUGGGGAGCAAA